AUUGAACGCUGGCGGCAGGCCUAACACAUGCAAGUCGAGCGGAUGAAGGGAGCUUGCUCCUGGAUUCAGCGGCGGACGGGUGAGUAAUGCCUAGGAAUCUGCCUGGCAGUGGGGGAUAACGUCCGGAAACGGGCGCUAAUACCGCAUACGUCCUGAGGGAGAAAGUGGGGGAUCUUCGGACCUCACGCUAUCAGAUGAGCCUAGGUCGGAUUAGGUAGUUGGUGGGGUAAAGGCCUACCAAGGCGACGAUCCGUAACUGGUCUGAGAGGAUGAUCAGUCACACUGGAACUGAGACACGGUCCAGACUCCUACGGGAGGCAGCAGUGGGGAAUAUUGGACAAUGGGCGAAAGCCUGAUCCAGCCAUGCCGCGUGUGUGAAGAAGGUCUUCGGAUUGUAAAGCCCUUUAAGUUGGGAGGAAGGGCAGUAAGUUAAUACCUUGCUGUUUUGACGUUACCAACAGAAGAAGCACCGGCUAACUUCGUG
rnacentral:rRNA from 1 species